rnacentral:misc_RNA from 1 species
UACGUGAGCCUCAAGCGUUACCCGGAAUCACUGGGCGUAAAGGGUGUGUAGGCGGCAUAGUUAGUCUUUUGUUAAAUCGUCCGGCUCAACCGGACGGCUGCGGGAGAAACGGCUAUGCUCGAGGAUGCAAGGGGUGUACGGAACUCACGGUGUAGGGGUGAAAUCCGUUGAUAUCGUGGGGAACACCAAAAGCGAAGGCAGUACACUGGUGCACUCCUGACGCUGAGACACGAAAGCCAGGGUAGCGAAUGGG